rnacentral:rRNA from 1 species
GAUGAACGCUGGCGGCGUGCCUAAUACAUGCAAGUCGAGCGAACAGACGAGGAGCUUGCUCCUCUGACGUUAGCGGCGGACGGGUGAGUAACACGUGGAUAACCUACCUAUAAUACUGGGAUAACUUCGGGAAACCGGAGCUAAUACCGGAUAAUAUAUUGAACCGCAUGGUUCAAUAGUGAAAGACGGUUUUGCUGUCACUUAUAGAUGGAUCCGCGCCGCAUUAGCUAGUUGGUAAGGUAACGGCUUACCAAGGCGACGAUGCGUAGCCGACCUGAGAGGGUGAUCGGCCACACUGGAACUGAGACACGGUCCAGACUCCUACGGGAGGCAGCAGUAGGGAAUCUGCCGCAAUGGGCGAAAGCCUGACGGAGCAACGCCGCGUGAGUGAUGAAGGUCUUCGGAUCGUAAAACUCUGUUAUUAGGGAAGAACAAAUGUGUAAGUAACUAUGCACGUCUUGACGGUACCUAAUCAGAAAGCCACGGCUAACUACGUG